UCCCAUUACAUUCGUUUCAACAAUCAUUUUUUAACAACACAAGAAUCAAUCAAACAAUCAAAACAAGAAAAAAAAAGAAGAGAAUUUAAACAAGAAUCAAGAUCAA